rnacentral:lncRNA from 1 species
AGAAAUGCUGGGUUCUGCGGGAAGUGCUAGCUGUGAAUUAUUAAGUAAGACAGAAAUCUACCUGAAAUAUCACAGGAUUUUCAGAUGGAGCCUGCCAGCUUGGAGAUGCUGAGGAGUGCUCUGUGACUGACAGCCAUUAUCUAAAAAGACAUCCAUGACACGAGAAAGGAGUGGCCACUCAGGAAAGGGUUCUGUGCCCAUUUGUGUCACAAGACACAGUCCAAGGAAUCAUAGUGAUGGAGUUUCUGCAGCCUGAAAGAGAGUAACAAUUAAUUAAUGUUCAAAAAAGUGGAAAGUGUGCUAGCUAUUUUUGGCUGCUAUGUCUUCUAGAGUAGAGGCUGAAUGAACAAGGAAGCAGGAGGUAGACAGAAAAGAGCAACAAAGAGCACCUGGAGCCACUCCCAGAACACAGAGCUUUUGUACCAGACAGCUAGCUUCUCAGGGAAAAGUGUUGUCAUUUCCUACAAGCAGAAAAAAGCAUGUACAUCUAUAGGAGUGCACAUGCCCUUAUGUCAGAGGACCACAGCCAGAGGAAGUCUGGGUGGCAUCCUGGAAAGGCCAGGAUGGGACUGUAGGACAAAGGAAUCACCCAGGCCCAUGUGCACAGCUCUGGUGACAUCCUUUGAAACCUGGUUUCUGUUCUGAGAUUUCCUCUUUGAUCUCUUCAUUGAAAAGUCUGGUCUGAGGGAAACACAAAUCCCUUGAGCUGGGUUAUCAUACCAUCUAUCCAGUUCCUCUUCCAGGCAACUUGUUUCAGGACAAAAGUGCCAGAGAUGACUGCCAGCACGAUGACUUCUGGGGCUUCCUGGCAUGAGUGAUGCUGUAUCACUUGGGUAUAAGCAUGGCUUGGAUGCUAUGUCAUAAGGACAAAAUGUACUUUUCCUCUCCCUGCUCUGGGCUCAUUGUUGUUUGCUCUCUGCCUUUCUCUCUAUACACCUGUCUCUUUCUCCCUCCUUCUCCCCUGCCCUCCCUCUCUCUAUUGCUCUCCCACCCAAGACAUUUUUCAUUCUAAAAAAUGUAGCAACACAUUUAUUAUCCCUGAGUAACUCCACAGACAAUCAAGAAAAUGCGUUACAGCAUGAUGAAGUGUCACGCACAAUGAACAUAUAGCAAAAUAAAUUACCCUAUAAACGAAGAAAAACAUUUCACCAAUGCAUAGUGCAGAAAUAUCUGAAGGUAACAAUUUACUUCAAUGAACAACUAUUUGGAAAAAAAACAACAGCCCUAAGUCAGAACCUGAUAUUUAUAAAGGGUUUCAGACUUGUGCAGGGCAAUUAUUUAGCCAGUGAGUUUGUUAAGGUGGAAGGCAGGCUGCCAGCACCGAAGCCUACUCAUCCUUCAUGUCACGUGAUCUUAUGAGACGCCCCCCCACCCCACGUCUGGGUUGAUGCCCGCUGACCUCUCAUUACCCACGCGUAUAACUUUAAUUUGCAUCUAAUGCAUUGUUUUGGGAUUGCCAUUUCAUGCACCUGCACCUGUGGCUAGGUUGCAAGCUUCUUGAGGAACAGGUAGGACCUCAGCUGAUUGAACUCUGCUAGCACAAGGCUCCCAGCAUGAUGGACAAUUAAUACAUGAUUGACAAAUGCACAAAUGGAUAAUUGAUACCAACUCCAAGAUCUUGAUUGAUUUCUGCAAGAUGGCAGGGCGCAAAAACUAGUGUGUGGCUUCAUGUUCUCUUGAGAUCCAAGAAAUAUGAAUCAGGCCAAGUGGUCUGCAAGAGCAAUUACCAUCAUGGAUUGUCUUUAGAUGGCCUCCAGGCCAACCUCACAUAGGGUGGGACUCAGCAGCAACCUUUUACAGUGAGUCCAUCCACCAUUAUUGUAGCAUUGGCUCACCUUCAAGUCUUUGCUUGUAUCACUGUCUCAGUGAGGCCUCCCGUGAGCACCCAUUUACAGUUGCACCUGCCCCACCCCACACCAGCACUCCUGACUCCUCUGGCUCUGUCCUCCAUUUUCCUCUCUAGCUCUUAUCUCCUUAAUGUAUUACAUGAUUUACUUAUUCAUCCUGUUUAUUGUUUACUGGUUCUCUUUCCCACUAGAAUGUAAACUCUUCUAUGUGCUUGGCACAUAGUAGGUGCUCAAUAAAUAUGUGCUGAAUGAAUGUAUGCUACCUUAUGACACUGGCCAAGAUAUAUAAACUGUGGCCUAAAGCAAUGGGAUUUUAUCUAUAUCCUUUGGAAAACAGAGUUCUGCUGAGAUACUUCUGGCUGCAGGACACUGAGAAGGAGGCCAAAUAGGCAGAGUUUAAGGGCUCCUCCUUCUAUGUCGCCACUUUUGCCUGUUUUUUCUUUACAGUUUUAUAAAAUAUUUAUUUUGAGAAAGGAAUUCUGCUGCUCUUAAUAAAACAUGCCUGAAACCCGCUGAUGUAUAGCAAAAUAUAUAUCGCUCUGUAUUUGAAUAAAAAUGUACCAGGGAGGAUCUUUAUUUGAUUACCUAUAUUCUGAACCUUAUGUAAAAGUAGAAUGAGCUCUUAUCUAUUGCUUAUCAAGGAAUACCACAAUUUGCCUAAGCCUUUUCUACUCAAAAUGUUUGGAUCCAUAGACCAAAGAUGAUAGCAUCAUGUGAGAACUUGUUAGAAAUGCAAAAUCGGGCCGGGCGCAGUGGGUUACGCCUGUAAUCCCAGCACUUUGGGAGGCCGAGGUGGGCGGAACACGAUGUCAGGAGAUGGAGACCAUCCUGGCUAACACGGCGAAACCCCGUCUCUAC